rnacentral:rRNA from 1 species
CCUACGGGCGGCAGCAGUAGGGAAUAUUGCUCAAUGGGGGAAACCCUGAAGCAGCAACGCCGCGUGGAGGAUGAAGGUUUUAGGAUUGUAAACUCCUUUUGUGAGAGAAGAUAAUGACGGUAACUCACGAAUAAGCACCGGCUAACCUCGUGCCAGCAGCCGCGGUAAUACGGAGGGUGCAAGCGUUACUCGGAAUCACUGGGCGUAAAGAGUGCGCAGGCGGGUUUGUAAGUCAGAUGUGAAAUCCUGUAGCUUAACUAGAGAACUGCAUUUGAAACUAUGAGUCUAGAGUGUAGGAGAGGUAGGUGGAAUGCUUGGUGUAGGGGUAAAAUGCGUAGAUAUCAAGAAGAAUACUCAUGGCGAAGGCGACCUACUGGAACAUUACUGACGCUGAUGCACGAAAGCGUGGGGAGCAAACAGGAUUAGAUACCCGGGUAGUC